rnacentral:rRNA from 1 species
GAUGAACGCUGGCGGCGUGCCUAAUACAUGCAAGUCGAGCGAACAGACGAGGAGCUUGCUCCUCUGACGUUAGCGGCGGACGGGUGAGUAACACGUGGAUAACCUACCUAUAAGACUGGGAUAACUUCGGGAAACCGGAGCUAAUACCGGAUAAUAUAUUGAACCGCAUGGUUCAAUAGUGAAAGACGGUUUUGCUGUCACUUAUAGAUGGAUCCGCGCCGCAUUAGCUAGUUGGUAAGGUAACGGCUUACCAAAGCAACGAUGCGUAGCCGACCUGAGAGGGUGAUCGGCCACACUGGAACUGAGACACGGUCCAGACUCCUACGGGAGGCAGCAGUAGGGAAUCUUCCGCAAAGGGCGAAAGCCUGACGGAGCAACGCCGCGUGAGUGAUGAAGGUCUUCGGAUCGUAAAACUCUGUUAUUAGGGAAGAACAAAUGUGUAAGUAACUAUGCACGUCUUGACGGUACCUAAUCAGAAAGCCACGGCUAACUACGUG